rnacentral:rRNA from 1 species
GACGAACGCUGGCGGCGUGCUUAACACAUGCAAGUCGAACGGAAAGGCCCUGCUUUUGUGGGGUGCUCGAGUGGCGAACGGGUGAGUAACACGUGAGUAACCUGCCCUUGACUUUGGGAUAACUUCAGGAAACUGGGGCUAAUACCGGAUAGGAGCUCCUGCUGCAUGGUGGGGGUUGGAAAGUUUCGGCGGUUGGGGAUGGACUCGCGGCUUAUCAGCUUGUUGGUGGGGUAGUGGCUUACCAAGGCUUUGACGGGUAGCCGGCCUGGGAGGGUGACCGGCCACAUUGGGACUGAGAUACGGCCCAGACUCGUACGGGAGGCAGCAGUGGGGAAUAUUGCACAAUGGGCGGAAGCCUGAUGCAGCAACGCCGCGUGCGGGAUGACGGCCUUCGGGUUGUGAACCGCUUUCGCCUGUGACGAAGCGUGAGUGACGGUAAUGGGUAAAGAAGCACCGGCUAACUACGUG